rnacentral:rRNA from 1 species
CCUACGGGGGGCAGCAGUGAGGAAUAUUGGUCAAUGGACGAGAGUCUGAACCAGCCAAGUAGCGUGAAGGAUGACUGCCCUAUGGGUUGUAAACUUCUUUUAUAAGGGAAUAAAACGAGGCACGUGUGCCUUUUUGCAUGUACUUUAUGAAUAAGGAUCGGCUAACUCCGUGCCAGCAGCCGCGGUAAUACGGAGGAUCCGAGCGUUAUCCGGAUUUAUUGGGUUUAAGGGGAGCGUAGUGGGGUUGGUAAGUCAGGUGUGAAAGUUUGCGGCUCAACCGUAAAAUUGCAAUUGAUACUGGCAGUCUUGAGUAAAGUUGAGGGAGGCGGAAUUCGUGGUGUAGCGGUGAAAUGCUUAGAUAUCGCGAAGAACCCCGAUUGCGAAGGCAGCUUACUGGACUUUGACUGACACUGAGGCUCGAAAGUGUGGGUAUCAAACAGGAUUAGAUACCCUAGUAGUC